rnacentral:lncRNA from 1 species
UAAAACACUGUCAGAGAAAAGGAGAGACUCAACCUACCUUACAGCUGAAUUAGAUAAUAGAAAAGGCCUGGCAGAGAAAGACAAUCCCAGGUGCAGCCCUAGUAAACUCCUACAUAAGGAGCAAGCCAAGGUGGAUCUUCGUUUGGCCUCCUUCCCCAAUUCAGUUUGUAAUUUGACUCCGUGCCUGGCCGGGAAGAAGUUAUUCUAAGGAGAACCUGGGGCUGCAUUUGUUGGCAGAAAUGGAGUUGAAAUGCAAAUCAAACAAGAGCACAAGCAAGCAAGCAGUAGCAUAAAAUGGAACGAGUGCAGGUCCGUUCUUUUCAGCCUCUGGGGAAAUGACCCUGCCAAUUCAGAAACCCGCAAGAGUUCCUGCCCUAGAGAGUGUUUUCACACAUUAAAACAGAAAUUCAGAUUUUAAUUAACCCAGUGAAUUUGCCUGAAAAUAUGCUCCCUGGAACACAACUAAGUCGUGCUUAUGAUAAAGAUGUGGCUGGAAAGGGAGAUGUCUACCGUUUUCUGAAUAAAACAUAAGAUUUUGCCAUCGAUGCAAGUAAGUAAUUGUGACAUUUAUAUUUUUAUUUGCUUUAUAGUUAUUACUUUUUAAUUUUACUUUUAAAAUGG